GGGCCCGCACAAGCGGUGGAGUAUGUGGUUUAAUUCGAUGCAACGCGCAGAACCUUACCUAGGCUUGAAAUCCUCAGAAUUCGACGUAAUGGUCGAAGUGCCCGCAAGGGAAUUGAGUGACAGGUGCUGCAUGGCUGUCGUCAGCUCGUGUUGUGAAAUGUUGGGUUAAGUCCCGCAACGAGCGCAACCCACGUCGUUAGUUGCCAGCAUUUAGUUGGGCACUCUAGCGAGACCGCCGGUGAUAAACCGGAGGAAGGUGUGGAUGACGUCAAGUCAUCAUGCCCCUUACAUCCUGGGCUACACACGUACUACAAUGCUACGGACAAAGGGCAGCAAACUCGCGAGAGCUAGCAAAUCCCAUAAACCGUGGCUCAGUUCAGAUCGUAGGCUGCAACUCGCCUACGUGAAGGAGGAAUCGCUAG
rnacentral:rRNA from 1 species